rnacentral:rRNA from 1 species
UAACACGUGAGCAACCUGCCUUUCANAGGGGGAUAACAGUUGGAAACGACUGCUAAUACCGCAUAACGCUGCGAUGGGGCAUCCCGAUGCAGCCAAAGGAGCAAUCCGCUGGAAGAUGGGCUCGCGGCCGAUUAGCUAGUUGGUGGGGCAACGGCCCACCAAGGCGACGAUCGGUAGCCGGACUGAGAGGUUGAUCGGCCACAUUGGGACUGAGACACGGCCCAGACUCCUACGGAAGGCAGCAG